rnacentral:rRNA from 1 species
AGACCCGAAACCCGGUGAUCUAGCCAUGGGCAGGUUGAAGGUUGGGUAACACUAACUGGAGGACCGAACCGACUAAUGUUGAAAAAUUAGCGGAUGACCUGUGGCUGGGGGUGAAAGGCCAAUCAAACCGGGAGAUAGCUGGUUCUCCCCGAAAGCUAUUUAGGUAGCGCCUCGUGAAUUCAUCUCCGGGGGUAGAGCACUGUUUCGGCUAGGGGGCCAUCCCGGCUUACCAACCCGAUGCAAACUGCGAAUACCGGAGAAUGUUAUCACGGGAGACACACGGCGGGUGCUAACGUCCGUCGUGAAGAGGGAAACAACCCAGACCGCCAGCUAAGGUCCCAAAGUCAUGGUUAAGUGGGAAACGAUGUGGGAAGGCCCAGACAGCCAGGAUGUUGGCUUAGAAGCAGCCAUCAUUUAAAGAAAGCGUAAUAGCUCACUGGUCGAGUCGGCCUGCGCGGAAGAUGUAACGGGGCUAAACCAUGCACCGAAGCUGCGGCAGCGACACUGUGUGUUGUUGGGUAGGGGAGCGUUCUGUAAGCCUGCGAAGGUGGCC